UACGAAGGGUGCAAACGUUGCUCGGAAUCAUUGGGCGUAAAGCGCACGUAGGCGGCUUCGCAAGUCGGAUGUGAAAUCCCUCGGCUCAACCGAGGACGUGCAUCCGAAACUGCGGAGCUUGAGUACUGAAGAGGAUCGCGGAAUUCCCGGUGUAGAGGUGAAAUUCGUAGAUAUCGGGAGGAACACCAGUGGCGAAGGCGGCGAUCUGGGCAGAUACUGACGCUGAGGUGCGAAAGCGUGGGGGGCAAACAGG
rnacentral:rRNA from 1 species